GCCGGCCUGAGAGGGUGAUCGGCCACAUUGGGACUGAGAUACGGCCCAGACUCCUACGGGAGGCAGCAGUUAAGAAUCUUGCGCAAUGGGCGAAAGCCUGACGCAGCGACGCCGCGUGGACGAUGAAGGCCUUCGGGUUGUAAAGUCCGGUAAGCAGGGAAGAAUAAGCAAGAACUAUAUUUCUUGUGAUGACGGUACCUGCCUAAAGCCCCGGCUAACUACGUGCCAGCAGCCGCGGUAAUACGUAUGGGGCGAGCGUUGUUCGGAAUUAUUGGGAUAAAGGGCGUCUAGGCGGGGGAUUAAGUUAGGUGUGAAAGCCAUGGGCUCAACCCGUGAAUUGCAUCUAAAACUGGUUCUCUUGAGUUCGGGAGAGGAGAGCGGAAUUCCUGGUGUAGCGGUGAAAUGCGUAGAUAUCAGGAAGAACACCAGUGGCGAAGGCGGCUCUCUGGCCUAGAACUGACGCUGAAGCGCGAAAGCGUGGGGAGCGAACGGGAUUAGAUACCCCGGUAGUCCACGCCGUAAACGUUGUGUACUAGGUGUUAGUGACUUGUUCACUAGUGCCGACGCUAACGCAUUAAGUACACCGCCUGGGGAGUACGCCCGCAAGGGUGAAACUCAAAGAAAUUGACGGGGGCCCGCACAAGCGGUGGAGCAUGUGGUUUAAUUCGAUGAUACGCGAAGAACCUUACCAGGGCUUGAACUGUUUCUGACAGGUGUAGAGAUACACCCUCCUUCGGGCAGAUUCAGAGGUGCUGCAUGGUUGUCGUCAGCUCGUGGUGAGAUGUUGGGUUAAGUCCCGCAACGAGCGCAACCCUUACUCCUUGUUGCUAUCAGGUAAUGCUGGGCACUCUAGGGGAACUGCCGGUGAUAAACCGGAGGAAGGUGGGGAUGACGUCAAAUCAGCACGGCCCUUAUGUCCUGGGCUACACACGUGCUACAAUGGCCGGUACAAUGAGCUGCGAUGCCGCGAGGUGGAGCGAAUCUCAAAAAACCGGUCUCGGUUCGGAUUGUAGUCUGCAACUCGACUGCAUGAAGCUGGAAUCGCUAGUAAUCGGAGAUCAGCACGCUCCGGUGAAUACGUUCCCGGGCCUUGUACACACCGCCCGUCACACCAUCCGAGUUGGCAGCACCCGAAGUGGCUGAGCUAAUCCCGACUUGUCGGGAAGGCAGGUUACUAAGGUGAAGCUGGUAAGGAGGGUGAAGUCGAACAAGGU
rnacentral:rRNA from 1 species